GGCUACCAGACAAGGUGCACAUCAACUCCUGAUAAACAUCCUCGGGGGGUAGUCCUUUAACAUGAAUUGUGCACAAUGACACCUCCCACCUGAAGACUGGGGAGGGUUUACUCAAAGAGGGUGUUGGAACAACGACUUCAUUCAUUGUCCCGACAAACAGAUGAUCAGAUUUUCUUCAAUAUCAAACAUUCAGAAAACACAAAAUGCUCAUCGUAUUCCUUUGCUUUGCUCUUAACUGUGUUCUGGUUUCAGGUUCCUCUCUCAGUGACAAAGUCCACCAGACUCCAGCUGACAUGUUCUUGGACAAACCUGGAAAAACAGCCACAAUCAGCUGUUCGCACAGUAUUGACAACUACGACAGAAUCCUCUGGUACAAACAAACGAAGAAUAAUAAUCUGCAGUUCCUGGGAUACAUGUUGACAACCUUUGGAAACCCAGAGCCUGGACUGGCUGUGCAGUUAGAAGGGAGUGCAGACACAAAUCAGAAGUGCACAUUAACAGUUGAAGGCCUGAACAGCAGUGCAGUGUACUUCUGUGCUGCUAGUUUACACAGUGCUACAGAUCACUGCUCCUCCGUACAGAAACCUCUGCACACCUCAUCUCAUCUCUGCAUUACAGCUGACGGCUCUGUGCAUCUGGAAUAAGACAUUCUACCCAAUGUGGUUGUUCUGAUAGGACUGGAGAGUUUAGUGGGAGGUCCUCUGUGGAGAAACGUAACCUCCCGUUAUAAAAAGCCGCCUCAGACACUCCUCAUGUCUGCUGCGGCUGCUUCUCAUGUUAACAGCAUCUCUAUGACGACUCGAGCUCUCGUCACAUUUGUAUUCUCGUCUCUGUGGCUUCAAGGUACAAAGAUAAGAACUAAUAUUUCUGAGAGAGGAAGA